UGGGGAAUAUUGGACAAUGGGCGCAAGCCUGAUCCAGCCAUGCCGCGUGAGUGAUGAAGGCCUUAGGGUUGUAAAGCUCUUCACCGGUGAAGAUAAUGACGGUAACCGGAGAAGAAGCCCCGGCUAACUUCGUGCCAGCAGCCGCGGUAAUACGAAGGGGGCUAGCGUUGUUCGGAUUUACUGGGCGUAAAGCGCACGUAGGCGGAUCGAUCAGUCAGGGGUGAAAUCCCAGGGCUCAACCCUGGAACUGCCUUUGAUACUGUCGAUCUGGAGUAUGGAAGAGGUGAGUGGAAUUCCGAGUGUAGAGGUGAAAUUCGUAGAUAUUCGGAGGAACACCAGUGGCGAAGGCGGCUCACUGGUCCAUUACUGACGCUGAGGUGCGAAAGCGUGGGGAGCAAACAGGAUUAGAUACCC
rnacentral:rRNA from 1 species